ACUCAACGGCAACCUCACAAAUCUGACUAGAGAGCAAUGGGCGAGCAGGAACAUGAACGGAGUAUUCAAACAUAGCCUCGCCGGCGACUCAAAACCUCGCUUAAAACUCGAACGACGACCUCACAAACUCUAAGUUUUAUAAGCAGAACAGAAGUGGUAACAAUGUCACGGCGACGAAGAGAUCUGAGCCAUACGGCAAUCGCCAUAGGAGAAUACAACAAGGAAACUAUUUGAGGUUGCUUCAUUGCAACUUCUGUAAAUAAUGGUUGUUUGUUGCUGCUGCUAUAGAGGAGAAGUAGAACAAUCCAAACCAGUAGAAGAAUACUAGGAUCUAAACACUUAAUUCUAAGCUAUGGAAUUAGUUUUAUCAACAAAUAAUCAAUCACAUACUAGCUUCAAAUUUGCAAACAUUUUUUCAACAGCAAAUAACAUGCGUUUAAAUCAAUUGACCUGUAUUUAUGCGGUUCAUAAUAAUUAUCUGAAAUCGCGGUUGAACACUUCCCUUGAAACAAAUAUAAACAUACGUUCAAAUCAGCCCAAACAUUGAAAGCAAGUGGAAAGUAAUUGUGUUUAGAAUUAUUAUUCAAACAAGAACAGAGAAAUUGACCUGUAUUUAUGCGGUUCAUAACAAUUAUCUGAAAAUCGCGGUUGAACACUUCCCUUGAAAACAAAUAAAGAUCCUUCCAAAUCCACAUUGCUAAACGAAUACAGCGUCGAUGGACUCCCUAAAAACUGAACUAGUAAUCAGAACCUAUGAUCUUCAUUUAAAAUGAACUUCGAACAAAACUAACUCGCCGGAUCCUUCGACGGAACUCGACUACUCGUUUGAUUUUUGCCGAAAUUUAGAGCUGAUUGGGACUGUCUGACAUUCCUUUUUUCGCUACAAUUUUGGUGGAUUUCACUUCUUUUGGCCAGAUUUUGAGCAAUUUCGUGGGUGUUCUAUGUGGGAUAUGAAUGGACUUCUGUCCGUCUCUUCUUUAGUUUUUCCUAUCCUCUUUUUGUGUGUAUAUUUUGGUUUUAUAGAGUGUAAAGGGUAGGGUGUUAUGUGAGGGAGUAAUUUUCGGGGGGAAGUAUUUUGUGGGGAAAUAAUUUUUGGGGAGGUCUCAUAUGGGGAGAAGUGUUU
rnacentral:lncRNA from 1 species